UCCUACGGGAGGCUGCAGUGGGGAAUUUUGGACAAUGGGCGCAAGCCUGAUCCAGCCAUGCCGCGUGAGUGAAGAAGGCCUUCGGGUUGUAAAGCUCUUUCGGCCGGGAAGAAAUCGGCGACUCUAACAUAGUCGCUGGAUGACGGUACCGGACUAAGAAGCACCGGCUAACUACGUGCCAGCAGCCGCGGUAAUACGUAGGGUGCGAGCGUUAAUCGGAAUGACUGGGCGUAAAGCGUGCGCAGGCGGUUUUGUAAGACAGGUGUGAAAUCCCCGGGCUUAACCUGGGAACUGCGUUUGUGACUGCAAGGCUAGAGUACGGCAGAGGGGGGUGGAAUUCCUGGAGUAGCAGUGAAAUGCGUAGAGAUCAGGAGGAACACCGAUGGCGAAGGCAGCCCCCUGGGCCUGUACUGACGCUCAUGCACGAAAGCGUGGGGAGCAAACAGGAUUAGAUACCCCAGUAGUCA
rnacentral:rRNA from 1 species